ACGCUCGACACCUACGGGAGGCAGCAGUGGGGAAUAUUGGGCAAUGGGCGCAAGCCUGACCCAGCAACGCCGCGUGAAGGAAGAAGGCCCUCGGGUUGUAAACUUCUUUUGACAGGGACGAAGAAAAUGACGGUACCUGUCGAAUAAGCCACGGCUAACUACGUGCCACAGCCGCGGUAAUCUGAGGCGGGCUGGCAAGGC
rnacentral:rRNA from 1 species